CUGGAUCUCCCAAAAUCUGUUAGUACACAAUGCAUUUAAUCACACAAACGUUUACACAUCCCUCAAAACAGUGACUGUUUACCAACAACGAACUACGUCGAUUUCAAAAACGCAGUUUGGGGGUUUACUGGAGCUGAAGAAAGGAAGACCGAACAAGGCUGGUCUUUAGCUCAGAGAUCAACUCCUCAGGAUAAACGUUCCUCUCCUGCCAAAUGCUGAAGAUCCUUUCCACUGACUUACACACUUUAGCAUCCCUACAAAACAAACACAGAUGCGGCGACUGGCAGAACGUCAGCGAAGGAGGUUCUGUAAAUGAUGGCGUUUUUCCUCUUGCAGUUCUGAAUGACAUCAUUAGCAAGGUAGAAGAGAUUCAGCCUGUGACUGGCGUCCGCUGCAAGGGGGAGACAAUGAGUAUUAAUGGGCUCAACAAUAAGGAGUGCCCAGUGGACCGGGGCCAGCAUGAGAGACCCUCAGGCCAGUUGCAAGACAUGUCACUUGCCCGAUCGGGCCAGUGCUGUAUAGUAACGAAAGUUUAUAAUUUGCACGUUUUCGAGCCUUAGCUAUUUAAAUAUCAU